UCAAAUCGUGCCAAAGGCUAUUGGCCUGCC
rnacentral:sRNA from 1 species